ACCUUCUCAUGCUCAUCUACAACUAAAAAAAAAGCAUAACUGGCAAAGUCAGUGAACUUAGCCUCAUACUUUGUUAUCGUCAUACUGCCCUGUCGUAGUUGCUCGAACUGAUAUCUCAUGUCGUCUCGCUUGCUCAGUGGAAUGAACAUAUUCAUAAAAAUAGCUGAAAACUCUGACCAAGUAAUAGAUGGAAACCCUGCACGUCUACCCCUCUGAACUGAAUUCCACCAUGACUCUGCAGAUCCUAAAAAUAGAAAAGUAGCAAAUUCCACCCUUCGAGUUUCCUUCAGCCCCAAAGUAGAUAUCAUAUUUUCACAUUGCUGUAUGAACUUCUCGGCUCAAUAGAAGCUUGUGUAGCAUCAAACUAUAUUGGCUUAAGAUCCAUGAAAUUCAUAUGAUUCGUAGACUGCCGUGUCUUUGCAACCGGCUGAACUACCUGCUGAGGGGCCAUAUGAGAAGCUAUAACAUUCAGUUCAACAUAUUCUUGCGUCUGCACAGUAGUCUAUGGAGUUCGAAGUCCACCCUGGGUAGGCACUAAUGCCUCUAACACAUUUAACAACCUUGCCAAUGAGUCUGUAGGUAGGGCAAUAGUAGGCACAACAGCUGGCCUUGGUGGUUGAGCAUCAUAAACCAUAUGUUCUUGCACUUGAGCUGGCGUAGCAGCUUAGGGUUGACCUAUGUUUUCAACUUCUGGCUGAGGGCUAUCUUGCCUCCUACUCUGAGCUCUAGUUUGAUGAACCUCAGUUCGACCCCCAACUCCGGUAGCACCACGUCCACACCACGUCUAGCAGAUGAGGUGUGCGUGUCCUAGCCAUGUGCGAAAGAAAUAUCCCAAAGUAAAACUCAAAUAGUAUCAACGCACGAUAGCCCCAAGAUCAUAAGAAUGUGUGCCAACAUACCCUUGAAUAAGACUCUACUAAACACUGCUGCAUGACCAGGGACUUAACGCCUAAGCUCUGAUGCUAACUUUAUCACGUCCCAAACUACCUCCUAGACGUGACUGGAACCCAGCCAACACCCCCCGCCGGACGAACCAUACUUUCUUACCUUAGCCAUUAAUUUACACCAUUUGGUUAAUUAAAUGAAUAACAAAAUAAUAUGAUAACUAAUACGACUAAUUAAUAUCUAAAAAUAUUAGAUUGAAACUCUAUCCUAAAUCCCACAGUAGACCAUGGAGCUUCUAAGAAAAUUACAAAAGACCUAAUAUAAAUAAAUGAUAAAGACUCUUUGGGUAGAUCCACGAACAAUGCAGUGGCUCACCUCAAUAACUGAAUCAACUCUAGAGAACGUGUCGGCUACAAUAUCUAUCUUUACCAAUAGUAUCUGGGUAGACAUGUAAGUAAGGAGUGAGUUAAUGUAAAUAUAACCCAGUAAAAUCAUCAACCCGCCACUCUGAAUACCUCUGAAACAAAUGGUAGAAAAAACAAACACACAACGAGCAAACAAACAAUAUGCACAUAAAUGCUUUUAUCAUAUAAUUACUCUAUAUGGUCAAAGCAAUUAUUUAACAACAACUUUAUGUAUAUCUCAACACAAUCUAUACUAAAGACUUGGAGCAGUGUAGCAACUUAACCAAACACCCCAAUGAAUCUAUGGAAGCAUACACAAUGCCCCAAAUUUAUCACAAUGGCAUACACAAUGCCCCAAAUAUAUCGAUGGCAUACACAAUGCCCUAAAUCUUUAACGGUGGCAUACACGAUAGCCCAAAUAUAUAGCGGCGGCAUACACAAUGUCCUAAAUCCUUCACGGUAGCAUACACAAUGCCUCGAAUAUAUUACGGCACUGAAAAAAAUAAUUUAUAAUCCUCCAAUAUCAUUGCACAAGGCUACGCCACAUCACCUACACUACAAAUCACUUAUUAAAUAAUGUUAGCUUUUACAGAAUAAUAUAUAUUUGUGGCUAGUCAAAGAUCACCAAUUCUGUCAAGCACACGCUCGUUCCAACAUAUGGACCAGGCAGGAAAAAAAAUAUACUUCCAAAAUAAAUUUUAGAAAAGUAAGCAUCGAAAGCUUAAAGUCUCACUUACCGUAGUAAUGGAAAAAUUUCCAACCUUGCAAGACUCCUUAUAUACAAAUU
rnacentral:lncRNA from 1 species